GAUGAACGCUGGCGGCGUGCUUAACACAUGCAAGUCGAACGGUGAAGGCGGAGCUUGCUCUGCUGGUUGAGUGGCGAACGGGUGAGUAACACGUGAGCAACCUGCCCCUGACUCUGGGAUAAGCGCUGGAAACGGCGUCUAAUACUGGAUACGAGCUGCGAAGGCAUGUUCAGCAGCUGGAAAGAAUUUCGGUCAGGGAUGAGCUCGCGGCCUAUCAGCUUGUUGGUGAGGUAAUGGCUCACCAAGGCGUCGACGGGUAGCCGGCCUGAGAGGGUGACCGGCCACACUGGGACUGAGACACGGCCCAGACUCCUACGGGAGGCAGCAGUGGGGAAUAUUGCACAAUGGGCGAAAGCCUGAUGCAGCAACGCCGCGUGAGGGACGACGGCCUUCGGGUUGUAAACCGCUUUUAGCAGGGAAGAAGCGAAAGUGACGGUACCUGCUAAAAAAGCGCCGGCUAACUACGUG
rnacentral:rRNA from 1 species